CAGCACAUAUAUUCUUAAAAAAAAAAAAAUAGAACGACACAGUGAAGAUUAGCAUGGCUCCUGUGCAAGGAUGACGUGCAAAUUUGUGAAGAGUUCCAUAUUAAA
rnacentral:snRNA from 1 species